AGCAGCCGCGGUAAUUCCAGCUCCAAUAGCGUAUAUUAAAGUUGUUGCAGUUAAAAAGCUCGUAGUUGAAUUUCGGGAUCAAUAUGUUGGUCGUGCCUCGGUACGUACUAGCUUAUUGGUUUCUCCUUUCUGAAGAACCAUGAUGUCAUUUAUUUGGUGUCGUGGGGAAUCAGGACUGUUACUUUGAAAAAAUUAGAGUGUUUAAAGCAGGCUCACGCUUGAAUACAUUAGCAUGGAAUAAUGAAAUAGGACGUUUGAUUCUAUUUUGUUGGUUUCUAGGAUCGACGUAAUGAUUAAUAGGGAUAGUUGGGGGCAUUAGUAUUCAAUUGUCAGAGGUGAAAUUCUUGGAUUUAUUGAAGACUAACUACUGCGAAAGCAUUUGCCAAGGAUGUUUUCAUUAAUCAAGAACGAAAGUUAGGGGAUCGAAGACGAUCAGAUACCGUCGUAGUCUUAACCAUAAACUAUGCCGACUAGGGAUCGGAUGAUGUUAAUUUUAAUGACUCAUUCGGCGCCUU
rnacentral:misc_RNA from 1 species